rnacentral:rRNA from 1 species
UACGUAGGGUGCAAGCGUUGUCCGGAAUUAUUGGGCGUAAAGAGCUCGUAGGCGGUCUGUCGCGUCGGCUGUGAAAACCCGGAGCUCAACUCCGGGCCUGCAGUCGAUACGGGCAGACUGGAGUUCGGCAGGGGAGACUGGAAUUCCUGGUGUAGCGGUGAAAUGCGUAGAGAUCCGGAAGAACACCGGUGGCGAAGGCGGUCUGCUGGGCAGUUGCUGGACACUGAGGCGCGACAGCGUGGGGAGCAAACAGG